CCCCUAGAUGUUCUGGGCCGCACGCGCGCUACACUGAACAGUUCAACAAGUCUUAACCUUGGCCGAUAGGUCUGGGUAAUCUUUGAACGCUGUUCGUGAUUGGGAUAGACCUUUGCAAUUAUGGGUCUUCAACGAGGAAUUCCUAGUAAACGCAAGUCAUCAGCUUGCAUUGAUUACGUCCCUGCCCUUUGUACACACCGCCCGUCGCACCUACCGAUUGAAUGGUCCGGUGAAGCUUUCGGACUUAUGCAAUGUCGCCUUUACCGGGGACGCUGCUUUGGGAAGUUAGUUUAACCUUACCAUUUAGAGGAAGGUGAAGUCGUAACA
rnacentral:rRNA from 1 species